AGGAGGAACAUCCACAGUGGCAGCGGCCAGCUCUGGAGCCCUGGAUUGAGCCCCGGCAGUAACUCUGUAGCUCUCUGUGGGGCCUGGAGGCUCUGGGGGCGG
rnacentral:pre_miRNA from 1 species